rnacentral:rRNA from 1 species
CUCAGUUCGGAUUGGAGUCUGCAACUCGACUCCAUGAAGCUGGAUUCGCUAGUAAUCGCGCAUCAGCCAUGGCGCGGUGAAUACGUUCCCGGGCCUUGUACACACCGCCCGUCAAGCCAUGGAAGCCGGGAGUGCCUGAAGUGUGCAACCGCAAGGAGCGCCCUAAGGUAAAACUGGUGACUGGGGCUAAGUCGUAACAAGGUAAC